rnacentral:rRNA from 1 species
CGUGGGGAGCGAACAGGAUUAGAUACCCUGGUAGUCCACGCCGUAAACGAUGAGUGCUAAGUGUUGGGGGGUUUCCGCCCUUCAGUGCUGCAGCAAACGCAUUAAGCACUCCGCCUGGGGAGUACGACCGCAAGGUUGAAACUCAAAGGAAUUGACGGGGGCCCGCACAAGCGGUGGAGCAUGUGGUUUAAUUCGAAGCAACGCGAAGAACCUUACCAGGUCUUGACAUCCUUUGACCACUCUAGAGAUAGAGCUUCCCCUUCGGGGGCAAAGUGACAGGUGGUGCAUGGUUGUCGUCAGCUCGUGUCGUGAGAUGUUGGGUUAAGUCCCGCAACGAGCGCAACCCUUAUUGCUAGUUGCCAUCAUUUAGUUGGGCACUCUAGCGAGACUGCCGGUGACAAACCGGAGGAAGGUGGGGAUGACGUCAAAUCAUCAUGCCCCUUAUGACCUGGGCUACACACGUGCUACAAUGGGAAGUACAACGAGUUGCGAAGUCGCGAGGCUAAGCUAAUCUCUUAAAGCUUCUCUCAGUUCGGAUUGUAGGCUGCAACUCGCCUACAUGAAGCCGGAAUCGCUAGUAAUCGCGGAUCAGCACGCCGCGGUGAAUACGUUCCCGGGCCUUGUACACAC